UUAAGCGACUAAGCGUACACGGUGGAUGCCCUGGCAGUCAGAGGCGAUGAAGGACGUGCUAAUCUGCGAUAAGCGUCGGUAAGGUGAUAUGAACCGUUAUAACCGGCGAUUUCCGAAUGGGGAAACCCAGUGUGUUUCGACACACUAUCAUUAACUGAAUCCAUAGGUUAAUAAGGCGAACCGGGGGAACUGAAACAUCUAAGUACCCCGAGGAAAAGAAAUCAACCGAGAUUCCCCCAGUAGCGGCGAGCGAACGGGGAGCAGCCCAGAGCCUGAAUCAGUGUGUGUGUUAGUGGAAGCGUCUGGAAAGGCGCGCGAUACAGGGUGACAGCCCCGUACACAAAAAUGCACAUGCUGUGAGCUCGAUGAGUAGGGCGGGACACGUGGUAUCCUGUCUGAAUAUGGGGGGACCAUCCUCCAAGGCUAAAUACUCCUGACUGACCGAUAGUGAACCAGUACCGUGAGGGAAAGGCGAAAAGAACCCCGGCGAGGGGAGUGAAAAAGAACCUGAAACCGUGUACGUACAAGCAGUGGGAGCACGCUUAGGCGUGUGACUGCGUACCUUUUGUAUAAUGGGUCAGCGACUUAUAUUCUGUAGCAAGGUUAACCGAAUAGGGGAGCCGAAGGGAAACCGAGUCUUAACUGGGCGUUAAGUUGCAGGGUAUAGACCCGAAACCCGGUGAUCUAGCCAUGGGCAGGUUGAAGGUUGGGUAACACUAACUGGAGGACCGAACCGACUAAUGUUGAAAAAUUAGCGGAUGACUUGUGGCUGGGGGUGAAAGGCCAAUCAAACCGGGAGAUAGCUGGUUCUCCCCGAAAGCUAUUUAGGUAGCGCCUCGUGAAUUCAUCUCCGGGGGUAGAGCACUGUUUCGGCAAGGGGGUCAUCCCGACUUACCAACCCGAUGCAAACUGCGAAUACCGGAGAAUGUUAUCACGGGAGACACACGGCGGGUGCUAACGUCCGUCGUGAAGAGGGAAACAACCCAGACCGCCAGCUAAGGUCCCAAAGUCAUGGUUAAGUGGGAAACGAUGUGGGAAGGCCCAGACAGCCAGGAUGUUGGCUUAGAAGCAGCCAUCAUUUAAAGAAAGCGUAAUAGCUCACUGGUCGAGUCGGCCUGCGCGGAAGAUGUAACGGGGCUAAACCAUGCACCGAAGCUGCGGCAGCGACGCUGAUGCGUUGUUGGGUAGGGGAGCGUUCUGUAAGCCUGCGAAGGUGUGCUGUGAGGCAUGCUGGAGGUAUCAGAAGUGCGAAUGCUGACAUAAGUAACGAUAAAGCGGGUGAAAAGCCCGCUCGCCGGAAGACCAAGGGUUCCUGUCCAACGUUAAUCGGGGCAGGGUGAGUCGACCCCUAAGGCGAGGCCGAAAGGCGUAGUCGAUGGGAAACAGGUUAAUAUUCCUGUACUUGGUGUUACUGCGAAGGGGGGACGGAGAAGGCUAUGUUGGCCGGGCGACGGUUGUCCCGGUUUAAGCGUGUAGGCUGGUUUUCCAGGCAAAUCCGGAAAAUCAAGGCUGAGGCGUGAUGACGAGGCACUACGGUGCUGAAGCAACAAAUGCCCUGCUUCCAGGAAAAGCCUCUAAGCAUCAGGUAACAUCAAAUCGUACCCCAAACCGACACAGGUGGUCAGGUAGAGAAUACCAAGGCGCUUGAGAGAACUCGGGUGAAGGAACUAGGCAAAAUGGUGCCGUAACUUCGGGAGAAGGCACGCUGAUAUGUAGGUGAAGUCCCUCGCGGAUGGAGCUGAAAUCAGUCGAAGAUACCAGCUGGCUGCAACUGUUUAUUAAAAACACAGCACUGUGCAAACACGAAAGUGGACGUAUACGGUGUGACGCCUGCCCGGUGCCGGAAGGUUAAUUGAUGGGGUUAGCCGCAAGGCGAAGCUCUUGAUCGAAGCCCCGGUAAACGGCGGCCGUAACUAUAACGGUCCUAAGGUAGCGAAAUUCCUUGUCGGGUAAGUUCCGACCUGCACGAAUGGCGUAAUGAUGGCCAGGCUGUCUCCACCCGAGACUCAGUGAAAUUGAACUCGCUGUGAAGAUGCAGUGUACCCGCGGCAAGACGGAAAGACCCCGUGAACCUUUACUAUAGCUUGACACUGAACAUUGAGCCUUGAUGUGUAGGAUAGGUGGGAGGCUUUGAAGUGUGGACGCCAGUCUGCAUGGAGCCGACCUUGAAAUACCACCCUUUAAUGUUUGAUGUUCUAACGUUGACCCGUAAUCCGGGUUGCGGACAGUGUCUGGUGGGUAGUUUGACUGGGGCGGUCUCCUCCUAAAGAGUAACGGAGGAGCACGAAGGUUGGCUAAUCCUGGUCGGACAUCAGGAGGUUAGUGCAAUGGCAUAAGCCAGCUUGACUGCGAGCGUGACGGCGCGAGCAGGUGCGAAAGCAGGUCAUAGUGAUCCGGUGGUUCUGAAUGGAAGGGCCAUCGCUCAACGGAUAAAAGGUACUCCGGGGAUAACAGGCUGAUACCGCCCAAGAGUUCAUAUCGACGGCGGUGUUUGGCACCUCGAUGUCGGCUCAUCACAUCCUGGGGCUGAAGUAGGUCCCAAGGGUAUGGCUGUUCGCCAUUUAAAGUGGUACGCGAGCUGGGUUUAGAACGUCGUGAGACAGUUCGGUCCCUAUCUGCCGUGGGCGCUGGAGAACUGAGGGGGGCUGCUCCUAGUACGAGAGGACCGGAGUGGACGCAUCACUGGUGUUCGGGUUGUCAUGCCAAUGGCACUGCCCGGUAGCUAAAUGCGGAAGAGAUAAGUGCUGAAAGCAUCUAAGCACGAAACUUGCCCCGAGAUGAGUUCUCCCUGACUCCUUGAGAGUCCUGAAGGAACGUUGAAGACGACGACGUUGAUAGGCCGGGUGUGUAAGCGCAGCGAUGCGUUGAGCUAACCGGUACUAAUGAACCGUGAGGCUUAACCUU
rnacentral:rRNA from 1 species